CCUACGGUAGGCAGCAGUGGGGAAUAUUUCACAAUGGGGGAAACCCUGAUGCAGCGACGCCGCGUGAGUGAAGCAGUAUUUCGGUAUGUAAAGCUCUAUCCGCAGGGAAGAAAAUGACGGUACCUGAUUAAGAAGCCCCGGCUAACUACGUGCCAGCAGCCGCGGUAAUACGUAGGGGGCAAGCGUUAUCCGGAUUUACUGGGUGGAAAGGGAGCGUAGACGGCAGCGCAAGUCUGAAGUGAAAUGCCGGGGCUUAACCCCGGAACUGCUUGGGAAACUGUGCAGCUAGAGGGCAGGAGAGGUAAGUGGAAUGCCGAGUGUAGCGGUGAAAUGCGUAGAUAUAUGGAAGAACACCAGUGGCGAAAGCGGCUCUCUGGUCUGUAACUGACGCUGAGGUUCGAAAGCGUGGGGAGCAAACAGGAUUAGAUACCCUAGUAGUC
rnacentral:rRNA from 1 species